CAAAUUGUGGGAAGUAUCUCCCCAGUGGCUUGCUGCACUUCACAAGGUCAGGUCCUGGGGAAAGUGGCUAUCCCAUGAGAAAACACAAGAAUAGAAGCAUCCAAAUACACCCUCACCUCUUGCUCGAUCUGAAAACUGCUGGGUAACAAUUGGCACAAGCUCAAUUGGGUUUAUAGGCUCCAACCAAGAUAAGGGCCCCAUUGUUCAAGGCAUUGUACACACAUAUAGUAAGAGACAGUUUAACCUGCUCUGAAGAGCUUUCAGUCUAGAUAGACAAGACACUCAAAGGAGAAACAGAG